rnacentral:lncRNA from 1 species
AUGGGUUUGGCCAACUGGAACGCCGUGGUUGGCCAUCAGUUGAUGGAUUUGGCCAAUGGAACAUUGGGCGCUGGGUUUGGCCAACUGGAACACCGUCAUUCGUCAUUGGUUGAUGGGUUUGGCCAACUGGGAUGCUGUGGUUGGCCAUCGACUGAUGGGUUUGGUCAACAGAAGAUUGUCCAAAAGGGUUUGGCCAACUGGAACGCCGUGAUUGGUUAUUGGUUGAUGGGUUUGGCCAACUGGGACACUGUGGUUGGUCAUGGACUGAAAGGUUUGGUCAACUGGACAUUGGGCAAUGGGUUUGGCCAACUGGGACGCUGUGGUUGGCCAUCGACCGAUGGAUUUGGCCAACUGGUACGCCGUGGCUUGUGAUUGACUGAAGGGUUUGGCCAACGGAACAUUGUCCAAUGGGUUUGGCCAACUGGAAUGCCAUCAUUCGUCACUGGUUGAUGGGUUCAGCCAACUGGGAUGCUGUGGUUGGACAUCGGUUGAUGGAUUUGGCCAACAGAACAUUGGGCGAUGGGUUUGGCUGUUGGGAACACCAUUUUUAGUCAUUGGCUGAUGGGUUUGGCCAACUGGAACACCAUCGUUUGUCACUGGUUGAUGGGUUUGGCCAACUGGAACGCCGUGAUUCAUCAUUGGCCACUGGAUUUGGCCAACUGGGACACCUCGGUUGGUCAUUGGCUGAUAGAUUUGGCCAAAAGAACGUUGUCCAAUCAGUUUGGCCAACUGGAGCGCCGCGAUUGGUCAUCGACUGAUGGGUUUAGCCAAUCAGAACGCCGUGGCUCACCGCUGGCUCAUGGUUCGGCCAAUCAGACGUUGACUGCGGGGUUUGGCCAACCGUCAUUGGCCGAUGGGUUUGGCGACCUGCAACGCCGUGGCUUGUGAUUGGCUGAUGGGUUUGGCCAACUGGAACGCUGCCCCUUGUGAUUGGCCGAUGGAUUUGGGCAGCCAGCUGAUUGGAUGGCCCCUUGGGGCGGCUCCUUGCCAUUGGACGAGGGGCUCGGCCGUCGUGGGUGCCGAAGAUCCUGAUUGGACGACGGCCUCGGCCACCUGGAGACCUCGGCUUCUCAUUGGACAACGGUUCAGCCAGGGGGCGUGGCUC